AUUGAACGCUGGCGGCAGGCUUAACACAUGCAAGUCGAGCGAGCGGCGGACGGGUGAGUAAUGUAUCGGAACGUGCCCAGUAGCGGGGGAUAACUACGCGAAAGCGUAGCUAAUACCGCAUACUAUUGGAGCGGCCGAUAUCGGAUUAGCUAGUGGGUGGGGUAAUGGCUCACCUAGGCGACGAUCCCUAGCUGGUCUGAGAGGAUGACCAGCCACACUGGAACUGAGACACGGUCCAGACUCCUACGGGAGGCAGCAGUGGGGAAUAUUGCACAAUGGGCGCAAGCCUGAUGCAGCCAUGCCGCGUGUGUGAAGAAGGCCUUCGGGUUGUAAAGCACUUUCAGCAGAGAGGCGUUACUCGCAGAAGAAGCACCGGCUAACUCCGUGCCAGCAGCCGCGGUAAUUC
rnacentral:rRNA from 1 species